rnacentral:rRNA from 1 species
UACGUAGGCAGCAAGCGUUGUUCGGAGUUACUGGGCGUAAGGGGUGUGUAGGCGGUUGUUUAAGUUUGGUGUGAAAUCUCCCGGCUCAACUGGGAGGGUGCGCCGAAUACUGAAUGACUUCGAGUGCGGGAGAGGAAAGUGGAAUUCCUGGUGUAGCGGUGAAAUGCGUAGAUAUCAGGAGGAACACCGGUGGUGUAGACGGCUUUCUGGACCGUAACUGACGCUGAGACACGAAAGCGUGGGUAGCAAACAGG